rnacentral:rRNA from 1 species
UGUGAAGCACAGGCAGUGGCUGCGGGACUACGGAGGGUACUAGAGUUGAUCGUGAGUUGGGGAGGUAUAGCGUGUGCCGGUGUGUUGGUAGGCGAGAUGGGAAAGUCCUGUGCUCAAGCUGGGAAUAGGGUGGCGAACUUGCGAACUAGAGGCGUGUAGAUGUGGGUAUAAUUCCAGGUGUAGCGGGGACAUGAGUAGAGAACUGGAUGAAUACCGGUGACGAAGGCGGCCCCCUGGACAAAGACUGACGCUCAUGCACGAAAGCGUGGGGAGCAAACAGUAUUAGAUACCCAGGUAGUG